GGCUACAGACAUACCACGCUGACUGGGUACAAUCUCAUCUGAUCUUAGAAGCCAAGUAGGGUCGGGCCUGGUUAGUACUUUGAUGGGAGACCGACUGGGGAUACUGGGUGCUGUAGGCU
rnacentral:rRNA from 1 species